rnacentral:rRNA from 1 species
CAGUAGCCGCGGGAAUACGAAGGGUGCAAGCGUUACUCGGAAUUACUGGGCGUAAAGCGUGCGUAGGUGGUGGUUUAAGUCCGUUGUGAAAGCCCUGGGCUCAACCUGGGAAUUGCAGUGGAUACUGGGUCACUAGAGUGUGGUAGAGGAUAGUGGAAUUUCCGGUGUAGCAGUGAAAUGCGUAGAGAUUGGAAGGAACAUCUGUGGCGAAGGCGACUAUCUGGGCCAACACUGACACUGAGGCACGAAAGCGUGGGGAGCAAACAGGAUUAGAUACCCCUGUAGUCCCUGUCUCUUAUAC